rnacentral:rRNA from 1 species
CGACCGCGACCCCAGGUCAGACGGGACUACCCGCUGAGUUUAAGCAUAUCAAUAAGCGGUGGAGAAGAAA